rnacentral:sRNA from 1 species
AUCAGAUGAGGUGGCGCACACCUGUAAUCCCAGCUACCUAGGGGGAGGCUGAGACAGGGGGAUCGCAAGCUCAAGGUCAGCCUGGGCAAUUCAGCGAGACUCUGUCUCAA